GUGACGACAAGCUUCAAUAAAGAAAAAAAAUCAGCUUCGGACGGACGCAGUACCUUCGAGAGCGAUGAUACGUAGCAGCACUGAAACAUUGAUCAGCUCCGAAAACGACAUCUUACUUAUACUUAUAUUUUGUAAUGUGUCAUUUAUUAAAACAUCGGUAGAUUGAUUGCGCAGCUGAAAACGAAUCGUAAUGCAAACCGAAUAAUUGUAUCGGAUUAUAUGUAACUCGAGAACGAAAAGAAAUACGAGUAGAAUCGUUCCACAGACUGUGUCCAGAUGAAUGGAAAAAACCUCGAUUUUUCCGAAAGAUUUGUAUAGCUUAUUAUUUGUUGUAUUUUAGUGUAAUAUGUUCGUAGGUAUACCUAGACCUACCUAUACUUGUAUGUAUCGUUCGUUUUGAUAAUUUUGUGGUAGAAUUACGCGUUGAUCACCCUUCCCCCUCGCCCUUUUGUUCGCGAUGUAGUUAUUGAAAUUCUUUCCGAAUGUGGCGACGAUGUCACUUGUUUCGUUUUAAUAUUAUUUUGGAAAUUUUCUUGUUGGACAUCGCGUUACCAUAGAUGAUAUUUAAUGAAUUUGAUAACGAUGAUCCCCCCUGCACGAAUUUAAUUUGAAUCAAUUUCUUGAAAUAUCUAUUAAUGGGUUAACGUUUUUUGACUUUUUACUGCCCCCCCCCCCUAAGAAUUGCUUGCUUCGCGUUUGUGACCCGAGUUUUCGCGUUAUCGAUGAUUGGUGGAUAUUUUAUCGCGGCCUCUUUUUUCUGAUUCGAUCGUACGUAUGAUUCGCUCGCGGAAAUCGGCCUUCGUCGUUCCUUUUUUUUUCUGAUUUUGAUUUUUAAACGUACAUACGUGUUAUUUACGAAAGCGGGUGGUUGAAAAAAUUUUGGUGGUUGGUUCUUAGGGGAAGGUGUUUCGCCGGUUACUCGAACUAAUUGCCGGCAUUAAUCUAGUAUUGUGUUGUCAAUUAGUUCUGGUGAUCGUCGAGACAAAUAGCCUUCAAUUUAAACGUCAGUGUUGUCAAGUAUCAUGUUUACAUGAUACUUGCCAGCAUUGGUAUGACCUGAGGAUUCUGAUAAAGAUGUGGCGCGACUGUCCUCGGAGUCCGAGAAUACGGCAGCAAGUCAGCUUUAGACACGAAUCCGAGGGUGUGGUGGUGGCGCUGUUACCAAUUCGGUCCUUCUGCCAGGUAAUCGGUGGUCAUCACGACGCAGGUGUUCUGCAGUCAUCAUCUCAGCUGAGACAGGCACGCUGAAUGAGACGCUACAACAGAACGUUGGUCUUAUGUGGGGUUUUGGCUAUUCGCGAAUAUAAUGCUAGGUUCUGUCUCGAUGGGAAUGGUAUCUAAAAAAUGAAUUAUUAAAAAAAAAUCGGGUGAUGGUUAUUUGGUGAUCUUGGGUGGUUGGUUGUUAGGUAGGUGAUGAAGGUGUUUCGCCGGUUAUUCGAACUAAUUGUUGUCAUUAAUCUCGUAUUGUGACGUCAAUUAGGUCGGAUGGUCGUCGAGGCAAAUAGCCUUCAUUUUCGACGUCGUCGAUGUUGUCAAGUAUUACGUUCGCGUGAUACUUGGCAACAUCGGUAUGACCUGAGGAUUCUGAUAAAGAUGUGGCGCGACUGUCCUCGGAGUCCGAGAAUACGGCAGCAAGUCAGCUUUAAAUACGAAUCCGAGGGUGUGGUGGUGGCGCUGUUACCAAUUCGGUCCUUCUGCCAGGUAAUCGGUGGUCAUCACGACGCAGGUGUUCUGCAGUCAUCAUCUCAGCUGAGACAAGGCAUGCUGAAUGAGACGCUACGACAGAACGUGUCUCGGGGUUGUGGAUUUUUUUGGCUAGUUAGGGUGUCGUACUGGUUGCAGAUCGUAACAAUUUUUUCCAGGCGUGUGUUAGUUGCGUGUAGCGUUAGUGGUGAGUUUAUUUCGUGUGCAGAUAGCGAUGUUUUGAGGAGUGCUGGUGGAGAGUUUAUUUUGUGUGCAGAUAGAGAUGUUUUGAGGAGUGCUGGUGGUGAGUGUUUUGUGUAGGGAGUAGGGAAUACGGUUGUGGCUGGUCUUGUUAUGUUUCUGUCCGUCCUUGCCUGUUAAGCAUCAACCCACAACCGUACUUUUUCCACUCUCACGACAACCUGGCGUCGUGUCCCUUGAAAAUUUUCUACUUUCUGAUAGUAUGGCGCCUACCUUCGCCAUUUGCGUAGUUCUGCAUUCGCGAAUCCACGUACGUACUCGCGCGGCGUAUUGUGGAGUCCUCUGUAUUCGGCUGGUACGGAGCCGAUCAGCAGGAUUUCAUGCAGCAUCUACGAAUAAAGAAACGCAUCCGCGGUUCACGGGCUCUCGCUCAGGUUCCGUCUUGGUCAUCAAAGCCGUAUGGUGUUGGGGGAGCGUCAUUCGGCGACUUGUCUGCUAUCGUGCUUCGGCGCAGCGGCCUGCUCAAUGGUGACGUAGUCCCCUGGCUCACCCCUGCGACGCUCAGUGGGGUCGUCAUUACGGCGGCUUCGACUGUAUAUCCAAGUCAAAAUAAGGGGUUGUCAUAAGAGGUUAUGACUCUUACGGUGGAAACGUUUGCGUUCCAUCUAGUGGUGCGAGCCGUUGGCCUAUGACCAGCUCAAUCUGCGAACCUUAGUUCCGGUUUGUGAAAGACGUGAGUAGGAUGGUUUACGUCGCCUAUUCUGCAUCAAGAUAUUGCCAUUCCUGCCGCGUCGAGAAUCAGACCUGCCUCUGUUGGAUCGCCAGAUCUGCCUGCGAUCCAACCACACACGCGUGUAAGUGGUGCACUCUAGGUUUUGCAUCACUUGCUCGCGUGAGAGCGAGGUUGUUUGAGAGAGAAAUGUCAAAGGCUGAUCUGGUCUCGUUGCUUCGGUCAACUUGCCAGGCAGGUGAGCGUGUGUGUAGCGUGUAUGGUGAUCUGGACCAAGUACGAUGUCUGGUUGAUAAUUGAAUUUGCGGUUUUUUAAAAAAUUUUUAUGAAAAAUUACGUAGUGGGGAUGUAAUUGUAAAUUAACGAAGGGUAAUUGGUUGAAAUUUUCGCUAAAUCGGGUUGUUAUAAGAUUUGAAAAUCGUCGAAGUUGGGGAAUUGGUAUUUGAUGGCGUUGAAUAAUGAAAUUACUCUGUUAUUGAACGUGUUACCUUUUUUUUUUCAAACGAAGGGGUAUUAGUUGGAUUUUACGAUACGAGAUGCAAUAUUUUUGAAAAUUCCGACGCGUUGAAAUGGAAAACAUGGUUGAAAAUGUGGAAUUUCGUAAUUCGAGUAAAUUCGCGAAGAUACGUGCAGAAAAGGUUCAUUUUCGAGGGUUACAAACGUGUAUUUUUGGGGGGAAAAAUUGGCGUACAGUUUUUACAGUUACCUGUUUCGAAUGUUUGUACAAAAUUUCCCCACCUGUCCCUCCUCUUGUUUUUAUUUAGCCAGGUAAUUUUUAUUUGAAUUUGGUGCAUAUUUUUUUCGUGAAUACCAAAAUGUUAAAGCAGGUGAAAAAUAUCGGAAUGAUCGAAAUUUUAACACGCCCCCUCCCCUCCGAGCCGUUCCUAACUUUCAUUAAGUCUUAAUUUUUCGGUACCGAAUUUGUUUCAUUAUUGUUGAAAUCUAUUAUAAUAUGUGUAUUUGUACUUGAAAAUAUUUUCAAGUUUGUAAUCUGUGUUAUUUUAUCAUUGUUGAUUUGGUGCGCACCUAUAAUGUAUGUAUUGUCUUAUCAAUUUAUGCGAUGUAAUAUUGUAUGUACUGAUCGAUCAAGGUUUUUCACGUCGAGCGGCCGGCGUGUUUUUUAGCCCAGAUCGAUCAUAUCUGUGUAGAAUUAGUGUGUGUAAUUUUUUUUUUCUUUGCCGCUGAUUUGAUUGAUUUUUGGUUG